rnacentral:rRNA from 1 species
GAACGAACGCUGGCGGCGUGCUUAACACAUGCAAGUCGAGUGCGCGGUGCCGUAGCAAUACGGUACUGGCGCACGGCGCACGGGUGCGUAACACGUGGGUAACCUGCCCUUUGAUGGGGAAUAACUCGCCGAAAGGCGAGCUAAUUCCGCAUAAGAUCCGCAAGGAUGAAAGCCGAAAGGCGUCGAAGGAGGGGCCCGCGGCCGAUUAGCUAGUUGGUAGGGUAAUGGCCUACCAAGGCAAUGAUCGGUAGCUGGUCUGUGAGGAUGGCCAGCCACACUGGAACUGAGACACGGUCCAGACUCCUACGGGAGGCAGCAGUGGGGAAUCUUGCGCAAUGGGCGAAAGCCUGACGCAGCGACGCCGCGUGGGGGAUGAAGCUUCUCGGAGUGUAAACCCCUUUCGACUGGGACGAAUACCUCGCAAGAGGGGUGACGGUACCAGUAGAAGAAGCCCCGGCUAACUACGUGC